UCACUUCUUCAGUGUUCUUCAGUAUUCGAUCCCUUUCUUUCACAACAACAAUUCUCUCCUCCAUCUUUUCAGUUUCUUCUUCACCAUCAGAUCUAUUCUUCCUUCAUCUUCAUCGCCAUUAGUACCCCCACUACCGUACAACACUAUCACCACCACUGUUAUUCUUUCAAUUCAAUUUGGAUUUGAAAUCGAAAUUAAGUGUUGCAUCUCUCCCAAUGAAAUUGGAUUUUAAAAACAAACAAACAUAAUUUCUAUUUCAAACCCAAUUUUUAUCGUUACGAAGGAGAAACGAUGAGUAGUUUGCAGAGAAACAAUCUCGACAUCAAACAAUUUUCGAUUUCUAUUUGAAACAAUUUUUGAUUUCUUCAUCAGAUUUUAUGACGCGGUCCAGUUAGAUGGAUUACAAGUACGCUCUUCUAAUACAGAAUGGAGUGUCGUCAUAGUCCUAGAAUACAAGCUCGUCUUCAGAUGGAAGCUGAGAA